UACGGAGGGGGCUAGCGUUGUUCGGAUUUACUGGGCGUAAAGGGCGCGUAGGCGGUCAGCACAAGUCAGUUGUGAAAUCUCCGGGCUUAACUCGGAAAGGUCAACUGAUACUGUGCGACUAGAGUGCAGAAGGGGCAACUGGAAUUCUCGGUGUAGCGGUGAAAUGCGUAGAUAUCGAGAGGAACACCUGCGGCGAAGGCGGGUUGCUGGGCUGACACUGACGCUGAGGCGCGAAAGCCAGGGGAGCGAACGGG
rnacentral:rRNA from 1 species